rnacentral:rRNA from 1 species
CAAAGGCUUGGUCCUGACUUUACUGUCAACUCUAGCUAAACUUACACAUGCAAUAUCCGCGACCCUGUGAGAAUGCCCCACAGUUUUCCGCCCGAAAACAAGGAGCUGGUAUCAGGCACACCCAACGAAAGCCCAUGACGCCUUGCUUAGCCACACCCUCAAGGGAACUCAGCAGUGAUAAACCUUAAGCUAUAAGUGAAAACUUGACUUAGUUAAA